UGCCCCUGACUGGUCUCCUGAUACCCCGCCCACAGCCCAGAACCCCUGUUUUGACCAGGCUGGGUCUGUCACACAGUGCACCAUAUUUCUGAAAGGAAACAGAAGUCUUAUUAUUGCCAUCUUCACACUGACUUGAAGGAAAUAAAGUUGGUUAACUGGGUUGGAAAAGGAAGGAAGAAGAGAAGAAUUUGAUUUGUGUCUCUACUGCUAUACAGUAUUGGAGGAGCUGUAGUUAGAAUAUCAAA